UGCACUGCCUAUACUCUGGACUUAUGGCCC
rnacentral:piRNA from 1 species